GACAGAGGGUGCAAACGUUGUUCGGAAUUACUGGGCGUAAAGCGAGUGUAGGCGGUCUCCUAAGUCGGAUGUGAAAGCCCCGGGCUCAACCCGGGAAGUGCACUCGAAACUGGGAGGCUAGAGUAUCGGAGAGGUUGGUGGAAUUCUCGGUGUAGAGGUGAAAUUCGUAGAUAUCGGGAGGAACACCGGUGGCGAAGGCGGGGCUCUGGGCCCACCCUGACGCUGAGGCGCGAAAGCGUGGGGAGCAAACGGG
rnacentral:rRNA from 1 species